rnacentral:rRNA from 1 species
GACGAACGCUGGCGGCAUGCCUUACACAUGCAAGUCGAACGGCAGCAUGGGUGCUUGCACCUGAUGGCGAGUGGCGAACGGGUGAGUAAUGCAUCGGAACGUACCCGGAAGUGGGGGAUAACGUAGCGAAAGCUACGCUAAUACCGCAUAUUCUGUGAGCAGGAAAGCGGGGGAUCGCAAGACCUCGCGCUUCCGGAGCGGCCGAUGUGGGAUUAGAUAGUUGGCGGGGUAAAGGCCCACCAAGGCGACGAUCCGUAGCGGGUCUGAGAGGAUGAUCCGCCAGCCUGGGACUGAGACACGGCCCAGACUCCUACGGGAGGCAGCAGUGGGGAAUUUUGGACAAUGGGGGCAACCCUGAUCCAGCCAUGCCGCGUGAGUGAAGAAGGCCUUCGGGUUGUAAAGCUCUUUCGGCCGGGAAGAAAUCGCAUCUCCUAAUACGGGGUGUGGAUGACGGUACCGGAAUAAGAAGCACCGGCUAACUACGUGCCAGCCGCCGCAGUAA